UGCACUGACUACACCAUGCCAUUUUAGGCUGCUGUUUUCCACUUUACAUAUUGAUUUUGUGACCUGGCACGAGUGUGCCAGGCCUUUAGCGCACCACGUUGAUAAUGUCGAGGUCUCGAGGAUACUAAGCACACUGACAAGCAGCAGUUGUUGUGGUGGUCCAUUCACUUUAUACUCUGCAUAUACAGAUGUUUCUGUAUAACAUUAUAUAUAGUCAUAUCAUCAGCCAUGGAUGCUGGUACUUCUAACCCCACGUGGGUCGCAUACGAUUACGCCGACACGGUUGCUUUGUUUGAUACCUUAACUCAGUUAUAAAUAAAAUAAAUAAUUAUGGGUAUGCAUCCAGUCAUUGCGCAUCACCAUGAAAACUGUCAUUCCUUUACGACAGUCGGCUGAGCACCUCCACCAAAGCGAUGGAUGCAUUUGAUAAAUACCAGUAGCGUGAAGAGAUUCUGCAGAUAAUUUGCCCGCUGCAAUCCGGAUUUUCCUGCAUCCUGACCGAUGAAUGCCUGGGACGAGAUGGACAUGCGGAAGCCGAAGUGUGUAUUGGAGUAAAUACUACAUAUCGACACCAACAAGGGAAACUCUGUUAAACGCUUGCCUGCGGACGAUCCGAGGGUGACGACCCACGACGCCAUACUGAUCAUAUUAUCGUAAUUUUCGUAUUACACAACGUUCAGAUUUGGUGAGAUAUGGUGGAGUCUUUUAUCUUUACAUGCAUGCAGCUCUUCCCGGCUUCACAUCGUACAUAAUAAUGGGAAUCACGGAUAACCACGGAGCUUUGCUACAGUAGGAGCUUUGCUACAGUACGUUUCAUUGCAGAACGUAAGAGAUAGCCAAGAAAACAACUGACUUUGGAGAAGAUAGUGGACAUCGCUCAGCAAGUUGCACGCGGCCCCCAGUGGCCCCCCACGAUCUACUGGUUCCCUUUGCAAGUGAGCGUGAUUGCCACCGUGACUUGAAAUGCCGAAAUGAAAUGCCCUCCGCAGUAGAAACGAUGGCAAUAUUGAGCUAGUGGAUUUCGGACACAUCCAGAAGUUAAAAGGAGCCAUGACAUUAAAGACCAACAAUGCGCAGCCCCACACGUGCACACUGCCGUAUACAUGCAUGGCCACCGAAGCACCAAGCGUUUUCGCUACGCAUUCUGGGAUUGCUGUCGGUUUGACCUGCGCACUGAACUGGAUGAAUGAGCAUGUAUCACUAAUCACCAUGAUCCUCGCCAUGGAUGGAAACGGUACAGAUUAUGGGGGCGACGUUAACGUAGCUGCUGGAAACACAUACAGCCAGCCGAGUCCAUCAGCCAACGAUUCGUUUCCAAAAUCAGCUUAUAACCAAGCGAAGAGAUACAGGAACCGAUACAUGUGUUACACGGCUGAUUGUCUGGAUCAUCUGUCGCCGUGAAUCAUCAAUGUGAUCUUCCUCUACAUAGACAUACAUUCCCAAAACCGGGCGAAACGAGUGUGCACAUUGUGUCAGCUGGUGACAGUCUUGGCGUUACGGGUGCAUCAGCAUCUAACUGAAAAGCUGUGCAGGCCUUCAGUCCGAUCACAGUUACUGCUUCCACGUCUCUCCUGACCCGCCCAAUCAACUCAGCGACUAAAAAUCCUACCCUGUUGGGAGAAUUCCUGCGGCACAACGAUGCCUUCUUAAUUAAGCUGUUGCAGUCCAUGUUGAUCAUGAUCAGGUUGCCCUUAAUAGUUCUCAAAGACCAUACUGUCAUGGAUCCCCGAAGGAAGGGCCGUAUGGCACAAACAUUAUCGUACUGGCAGCACCCGGCCGAUGAUGCUGCGGUAUUCUAUCGAUUCAUUUACCGCUUGAUCUUUCUUCAUAACUGGAAAGUCAACCAACUUUUUGACGAAAUCAUGGGCACCAUAUUUUGAAGUCCUUUGUAUAUGAGCUGCAGCGCUAGUCUUCUGCCAGCACAUGAACAAGCAUACUUCUGCUUGAGGGAUUUCGCGGAGGGAUCGCACCAACUGCCCAUCGAUAAGCUGCGCAUCAUCAUGCCGCGGCAGCUGCUGCUCGGCAGUGGCUACUACAAUUGGAUGCACAUAACCAGCCGCGCGAGGUCGGCCAUGAUCGACAACGUCCCACCGGUCCCGGCUGACAUGCUAGCCAAGGUCACGGCGGUCUAUGUUCGCUGAGUGUGCACGUUCAGCUAUCCGGAUGACUGGCAGUGGAAUGUGAUUGUUGGGAUUUUUUUGUGGUAAAAAUAAGAAGGGGUAGAAAUUUACUGAAACAGCACUGUUUGGUAUGUUAGGUUCAGAAAGUUUGACCCGGGCAAAAUGUCCGGGGGGGGGGGGUCCAAAAGUUGGAUUCCCCAAUUUUGUCAAAUUAUGGACCACAAUGUAGCUGAUAUCAAGGCGAGUUCGAAUCCGUAACAAGAAAAAAGAUCGGAUGAAUUGGUAAAAGUAAUUGGUGUUGCCGGUCUAAAAAUACCAUAAUCCGCCUCUGACGAAAAGUAAUAUUUAAAAAUACGUUUAGGAUGUAGCCUUUAUUUCAACCCUUUGGCAAUACCGUAAUAUGUUA